ACGUGAAUGGUUUUACCUUUCCAUAUCCUCUUAACCCAUAUCCUUUCAUUCUUAUCUUCUAAUAUAAGCUUAAAAGAAAUAUGGGGACAAAACAAAGAAAACAAAAAUAACCCCAUAUCCCUCAUAGAUGGCAACCCAGAAAACUAUGCCUUCCUAAGCAAGCCACCACGAUCCAUAAGCCGUGCCACCUUAUCACCGGCCAUCGAACACCAGAUGGCAUCGACUUGUUGACCACACCUCGCCGUGCCAGUCAACAUGGUCGUGAGUGACUCCUUACUCGACCACCACACAAUUGUUAGUCUUCUUCUUCAUAAUUAAGAUAGAAUGAAGAGAAGAAGAUGAAGUGAAGAAAUUAGCCAUGAAAGUUGAAAGAGUGGCAUGCUUGAGAUUUCGAGAAGAUUGAGAUUGACAAAGUCAACGGUAGCUGAAAACGUAAAGAUUAGUAAUCAACUAAGUAAUCUCAACCAAUCAUAUAAAAGAAUGGUGACUUUAAGUGAAAAGGAAAAAUUUUGGUUUAUCCGCUUUACAAACGACUGUCGGAUUUUCUGCAGAAAUUUGUAUAUUUUAAAUCAUUUCAAAUGAUUCUUAUAAUGUAAUUUAUUUACAUCUUUUAAAGGUUGUAAACUGUGAUAUUUAAAUUCUUAAUAGUUUUCUAGUGGAUGAUAUAAUUAGUUGAGUAAUUGAUUAUACUAUUAACGUAAUAGCUCGAUAUAAGUUUUAAGCUUCCGCAUUAAUUUAAAUUAAAGUUGUUGAAUCAAGUGCUUAGUUUUGGGUUGUUACAUCUUUGAAGUGGGGUUCGCCUCCUAAUGUAUCAUUCCACUGGCAAAUCCCCUUCUACAUCCAAUCAAUUAAUGGGUCCUCAAAAAAAUUGGUAAAACCAAGCUAAUAAUCAAUUAAGAGCAGAUCUAAAAAGAGGAUGAAAUCAGAUUGCAACGGAUGACCAUACCAAGACAAUGCAAGUGAUCAAGUGGGAAAGACAAAAUUUCCUAGCAGUUAUCCAAUAGCAUUUUGCACAACAACUUUUCGUGUAGUCAUUUAUUUUCAAAACAUUUAAUUGUAUAUUGUAUUAAAUAAUAUUUUAAUUAGUAUUUUAUACCAUAUGAUAAAAUGAACAUUACAACUGCUAUUAUAAUAAAUAUUAAAAUAAAAAAUAUAUGUUGUUUUGAAAUAAAUAUUUAAGAAUAUAUAACAUAUAUGGAAAAUAAAUAAAGAUAUUUUAAAAAAUAUAUUCGUAACAAACGGGUGACGAUAACAAACGGGUGACGAUACUAGUGACCACACAUAUGGUCACUAUUAUUGUUAGUGUUAAUGGUGACUUGAAUGCACCAAAUAAAUUCUAUGCAUUAGUGUGGUUGCAUAAAGGUGGACUCCUAUGAAGGAGUUAUGAUGGGUAUUCAAGUAUGUCUUAAAGUGGUGCUUAAAUUAUGUGUGUUAAUGCAUAGUACUAAUGGGAGCAAUGAAGGUUAGCAUUGAUGAUGUAAGUAAUGGUGCGAAUUAAGUUUGUAUUCAAUAAACUUAAUAAUGAAGUGCAAGAGUUGGGUCAGCAGUAGUUUGCUCGAACAAGGCACUCUAAAACUACACAUGGCUUUGAACGAGGCACUAAAACAGAAGCUAAACAGAAUGGUCUGGGAAGAAGUGCUCGAACGAGUGAGCUGACUACUUGAACGAGCACCUUGUUGUGCUGCAGACAGAGGCUGGCAAAAGGCCCUGCUCGAACGAGCACUGUGAUGGCUCAAACGAGCAGGAUGGUCAGUGGCCUAGGAUGCUCUUUUCUGAUGCGUUAUUCCUUGAAUAUUAGUAACUGUUAUGUCUUUUAAAGUUUAAAUAUUAAUGUAUUACAUUUAAGUGCUUAACCCCUAUAAAUAGGAAGCUCAUAUGUUCAUCCAAAACAUAUACAAAAAUAAACCCCAAGCCAAGCAC